AGCAGCUGCAAGCAGUCAUCUGCAGGAAGAAUUUAGUCAACUAUGUUUGAAAAAGCAAAGUUGCCUUUCACAGAACUUCAGUUGAGAAAAGGAGAUUGGACACGCAUUGGGCCACUCGAUUAUCCUGAUGCACAGUUGCUAGCAGAAAUUUUGCAGAAAUUUAAUGAAGGGUGGCCAGGUGCCUGGUUUUUGACAGGAAACUCUGGGUGAAAAGGGGACCUGACAGGGUCUGGUCAUAUCAACUGACAGGACACCCAAAGUCUGUUUACUGUGGGCAGGGCAGGCAAGAAGUCGCUGCGUCAUCACCCACUCCAGCCCCUACUCAUCCACGGCCACCUCCUACCUGUGUCAGCUCCCAGCCCCAGCUCCGCAGCAUUUGUAUUAGGAUUGCACCUUGAUGCCUCAUCUAGAUCAUGGCCCUGUUCUACCAACUGUACAGACAUAUGAUGGAGUGUGAAGAUGCACCAUGAACACUGGGAUGCAGCAGAGAAAAGACAGACCCAUAAAAAUGCAGACAUUGCUGUUGCAGAAAUUUUCAGGUCCCAGCGUUUAUCUCAGCUUUCAUUUUAAAAAAUCUGUAAUCCCUAUUUUGAAAAAAGAUUAAACUUCACAAUGUAAACCAGUCUCCUUAGAGUUGAAAGUGUCUUCACUAAAAAUAAUUAAUUAUUCACUGUCCUCAACACUUGUCCAGAGGCAGUCCAUGAAGCCCAUGACUGCUAACUCCUGUUUUUAGAUACAAUCUUACAUGUGAGAAAAUCCUAAGUGAUGAUUGCAAGAGAUGCCUUUGCUUCACUGAUGGUGCCAGGGUUUCUCAGUGUUAUCUCAAGGCUGGCUAGAUGCCUGUAGUUGAUCCAGUUCCUCCUCCUCCUCGUUGUUGUUAUUGUAAUGCCUAGAGGCCAGGCACCCAUUGUGCUAGGUAAGCACUGUGUUGUGAACACACGUCAAGGUUCCUUCCCCACUCUGAACUCUAGGGUACAGAUGUGGGGACCUGCAUGAAAAAAACCCUAAGCUUAUUUUUACCAGCUUAGGUUAAAACUUCCCCAAGGUACAAACUAUUUUACCUUUUGUCCCUGGACCUUAUUGCUGCCACCACCACGGGGUAUGUCUGCACUUGAAGCUAGAGGUGUAAUUUCCAGCUUGAGAACACAUACCCACUCUAGCUCUGAUCGAGAUAGUGUGCUAAAAAUAGAGUGUAGUUAUGGAGGUGGGAUGAGUUAGUCACCUCGUGUAUGUGUCUAGUGUCUCAGAUGGGUAUACAUUCAGAGUGGCUGACCUCUCCUGCCACUUGCGCCCUGGUGUCUACACUCUAUUUCUAGUGCACUAGCGGGUAUGUCUCCUCAAGCUGGAAUUUAAACCUCCAGCUCAAAGUGUGGACAUUCUCAUAAGGCUUACAAUAUAAGGAAGAUGUUCUUCAAGCUUCAGUGUGGCUUCCAGCUACAAACAGUGAAGACAGAUCAGUGAAGAAACUGGCUACUGACAACAGGCAGAGCAAAAGGGUACCAGCAUCUACUUAGCCUUCAGUUGUAUCAGCAGCUGCCAAGGUAUUUAGGAAGGAGAGAGGAGGCAGUAUUUAGCUGGCUGACCGCAGAAGACUUGUCUGGGAGGCUAGUGAUGGAGGAAACCUCCUUGAAGAGCAAUGGAGAAAGAAGGCAUGUGUCUGUGUGCUCACAGGAGUGAGAAAAAAAAGAGGGAGAAGGUGUGUGAUUCUGGGCUGUUGGAGGCAAGAGAAGCAGUGACCCCAUGGAAAAUGUGGAGAGAUUGAGUGAACUGUAGAGGUGACGGAAUGCAGAGCAAUGAGGCAACAAAAGAAAAGGAGCAAGAGGGAGGGACUUUGCAGACUGGGUCAGAGGAAUGGGUUGGAUGAGGGAGAAUGAGGCAAAGAGGAAAGAGAGAAUGAGAAGGAAAGAAAUUAUGCUUUGCAAGGAAGGAAGAGAGAAAAUUGUAAAAAGGCAGAGGAGAAAGCAGUAGAUGUGAGAGAGACAUUGGUACAGAAAAGGAUCGGACGAGUUGGGAAAUGAAAGUAGAAAAAAACUAUUUGUAUUUUGACUGAAAUAUGCAAGAAGUCAAUAAGUCUCUUCAUUCAAAAAUAGCCAUCAAGUUUAUUUCUGUUAUUUGAUCAGGAAUUCAAUUUGUUAAGUUUAGGGGGAAGCUGGUGUCCAAGCUGAUAUAUCCCCAUUUGUCCCACUAGUAAUAUAGGAGAUCAGGUUUGUCCAUGAGUUGUUAGUCUGUAAGUGAUCCUGAGAAAUCCAUUGUAUUCCUUGUGUUUACAAUUAGUCUGGCUCCCAUCCAAUUCACGUUUUAAAUUUCCAAAUUAAAUUAUUAUUAGUUAUUGGUAAACAGGUCAUUAACCGAAAAUAAUCUAGUUCUGGAGUCUGGUAAUUUUCCUGGUUAUAUUUUAUGAAGGUCUCUAGAUUUAGUUAUUGUGAAAAGGACAGCGAUUAUUUUAGGAUUAUGAAAUAUUUCCACGUUUAUUGAGAAAUGUUCCUUAGCUUUAAAAAUAAAUAGCUUAAGUUGACAGUUGCCUGAUUAAGUUCUCAUUACAUUAAACAGAUAAGAAAACCAGAAAUGAAUACACAACAUAAUCAAGAAGAUCUUAAACAAUGAACAUUAACCAACCCUAACAAUAAGACUCAAUUAAGAGCUGGGUGAACUAUUCAUAGUGAGCAAGAUAUUUAGUGAAUUUCAUCUUUUUUACUAGUGUCAAAUAGUUUGUGAACAUUGAAUUUUUAUGCAUUUUCCACUACUUAAAUUAAUCAAUGAAUGUUUAAUUUAAAAUAUUUGAAAAUAUAAUUGCUCAAGUGCUUUCUU